UGACCUCGGAUCAGGUAGGGAUACCCGGUGAACUUAAGCAUAUCAAUAAGCGGAGGAAAAGAAACCAACAGGGAUUGCCCUAGUAACGGCGAGUGAAGCGGCAACAGCUCAAAUUUGAAAUCUGGCUCUUUCAGAGCCCGAGUUGUAAUUUGCAGAGGGCGCUUUGGCGUUGGCAGCGGUCCAAGUUCUUUGGAACAGGACGUCACAGAGGGUGAGAAUCCCGUACGUGGUCGCUAGACUUCGCCGUGUAAAGCCCCUUCGACGAGUCGAGUUGUUUGGGAAUGCAGCUCUAAAUGGGAGGUAAAUUUCUUCUAAAGCUAAAUACUGGCCAGAGACCGAUAGCGCACAAGUAGAGUGAUCGAAAGAUGAAAAGCACUUUGGAAAGAGAGUCAAACAGCACGUGAAAUUGUUGAAAGGGAAGCGCUUGCAGCCAGACUUGCCUGUAGUUGCUUAUCCAGACUUCUGUCUGGUGCACUCUUCUAUAGGCAGGCCAGCAUCAGUUUGGGCGGUUGGAUAAAGGUCUCUAUCACGUACCUCUCUUCGGGGAGGCCUUAUAGGGGAGACGCCAUGCAACCAGCCCAGACUGAGGUCCGCGCAUCUGCUAGGAUGCUGGCGUAAUGGCUGUAAGCGGCCCGUCUUGAAACACGGACCAAGGAGUCUAACAUCUAUGCGAGUGUUUGGGUGUCAAGCCCAUACGCGUAAUGAAAGUGAACGGAGGUGGGAACCUUUUAGGUGCACCAUCGACCGAUCCUGAUGUCUUCGGAUGGAUUUGAGUAAGAGCAUGGCUGUUGGGACCCGAAAGAUGGUGAACUAUGCUUGAAUAGGGUGAAGCCAGAGGAAACUCUGGUGGAGGCUCGCAGCGGUUCUGACGUGCAAAUCGAUCGUCAAAUUUGGGCAUAGGGGCGAAAGACUAAUCGAACUAUCUAGUAGCUGGUUCCUGCCGAAGUUUCCCUCAGGAUAGCAGUAACGUAUUCAGUUUUAUGAGGUAAAGCGAAUGAUUAGAGGCCUGGGGGUUGAAACAACCUUCACCUAUUCUCAAACUUUAAAUAUGUAAGAAGUCCUUGUUACUUGAUUGAACGUGGACACUUGAAUGUACCGUUACUAGUGGGCCAUUUUUGGUAAGCAGAACUGGCGAUGCGGGAUGAACCGAACGCGGGGUUAAGGUGCCAGAAUAUACGCUCAUCAGACACCACAAAAGGUGUUAGUUCAUCUAGACAGCAGGACGGUGGCCAUGGAAGUCGGAAUCCGCUAAGGAGUGUGUAACAACUCACCUGCCGAAUGAACUAGCCCUGAAAAUGGAUGGCGCUCAAGCGUAUUACCCAUACCCCGCCGCCGGGGCAGAAUUUAUGCCCCGGCGAGUAGGCAGGCGUGGAGGCUCGUGACGAAGCCUUGGGGGUGACCCCGGGUCGAACGGCCUCUAGUGCAGAUCUUG
rnacentral:rRNA from 1 species